CAAACGGGGAAGUGUGACAGAUAGGAAGCUGGAAUGGAAAAAGAAAGUUGUCUCAAGAGACUUGUUGGCAUUUUCAAGGAAAUCUGACCAUUGGAUGUGGGGAAGACUAAGGUGACCCAACUGCUCUCACAUGCUUUGAGCAAUUCAGUUUCUUCUGUAGAUAUCCAUGUAUGGAUCUUAACCUACUAUCAUUGGGAACCACAGAAAAAGAUGGAUGGGAUGUCAUUUGAGGAGUGUGAGGUUUUGACAGA